rnacentral:rRNA from 1 species
UACGUAGGGGGCAAGCGUUGUCCGGAAUCAUUGGGCGUAAAGAGCGUGUAGGCGGCCAGAUAAGUCCGCUGUGAAAUCUCGAGGCUCAACUUCGAGCUGUCGGUGGAAACUGUCUGGCUAGAGUCCGGAAGAGGAGAAUGGAAUUCCUGGUGUAGCGGUGAAAUGCGCAGAUAUCAGGAAGAACACCCGUGGCGAAGGCGGCUCUCUGGGACGGUACUGACGCUGAGGCACGAAGGCCAGGGGAGCAAACGGG